AUUGAACGCUGGCGGCAUGCUUUACACAUGCAAGUCGAACGGUAACAGGGAGCUUGCUCCGCUGACGUGUGACGAACGGGUGAGUAAUGCGUCGGAACGUGCCGAGUAGUGGGGGAUAACGCAUCGAAAGGUGUGCUAAUACCGCAUACGAACUGAGGUUGAAAGUGGGGGACCUUCGGGCCUCACGCUAUUCGAGCGGCCGACGUCUGAUUAGCUAGUUGGUGAGGUAAAGGCUCACCAAGGCGACGAUCAGUAGCGAGUCUGAGAGGAUGAUCCGCCACACUGGGACUGAGACACGGCCCAGACUCCUACGGGAGGCAGCAGUGGGGAAUUUUGGACAAUGGGCGCAAGCCUGAUCCAGCCAUGCCGCGUGUUUGAAGAAGGCCUUCGGGUUGUAAAGGACUUUUGUCCGGGAGCAAAUGCUGGUGGCUAACAUCCACCGGAGCUGAGAGUACCGGAAGAAUAAGCACCGGCUAACUACGUGCCAGCCGCCGCCGUAAAAC
rnacentral:rRNA from 1 species